AUUGAACGCUGGCGGCAGGCCUAACACAUGCAAGUCGCACGAGUGGCGGCCGGGUGAGUGAUGUCUGGGAAAAUGCCUGAUGGAGGGGGAUAAAUAAUGGAAACGGUAGAUAAUACCGCAUAAACUAAGAUGUUGCCCGAUGGGAUUAGCGUGUUGGUGGGGUAACGGCUCACCAAGGCGCCGAUCCCUAGCUGGUCUGAGAGGAUGACCAGCCACACUGGAACUGAGACACGGUCCAGACUCCUACGGGAGGCAGCAGUGGGGAAUAUUGCACAAUGGGCGCAAGCCUGAUGCAGCCAUGCCGCGUGUAUGAAGAAGGCCUUCGGGUUGGAAAGUACUUUCAGCGGGGAGGCGUUACCCGCAGAAGAAGCACCGGCUAACUCCGUGCCAGCAGCCGCGGUAAUAC
rnacentral:rRNA from 1 species